AUAUUGCACAAUGGGCGCAAGCCUGAUGCAGCCAUGCCGCGUGUAUGAAGAAGGCCUUCGGGUUGUAAAGUACUUUCAUCGGGGAGGAAGGCGAUAAGGUUAAUAACCUUGUCGAUUGACGUUACCCGCAGAAGAAGCACCGGCUAACUCCGUGCCAGCAGCCGCGGUAAUACGGAGGGUGCAAGCGUUAAUCGGAAUUACUGUGCGUAAAUCGCACGCAGGCGGUCUGUCAAGUCGGAUGUGAACUCCCCUGGCUCAACCUGGGAACUGCAUUCGAAACUGGCAGGCUGGAGUCUUGUAGAGGGGGGUAGAAUUCCAGGUGUAGCGGUGAAAUGCGUAGAGAUCUGGAGGAAUACCGGUGGCGAAGGCGGCCCCCUCGACAAAGACUGACGCUCAGGUGCGAAAGCGUGGGGAGCAAAC
rnacentral:rRNA from 1 species